rfam:Echinostoma caproni strain Egypt genome assembly, scaffold: ECPE_scaffold0000730
GCAUUGCUGAUGAGACCAAACUAGGUCGAAACAGUUGUCCGGUGC